rnacentral:lncRNA from 1 species
CAUGAGGGCGUACAGGGCUUGUGGAGGGAGGCAGGAGCUCCAGCAAGCACAGACAGGAAGGAAAAAGGAAGUCCGGCACGGCGCAGUGUGCUUCCCGUCAUCCUUUAGCAGGAGAGAUUCCUGGGCAAACGCAGAUGUUAGUUUCCCCUCUGUGUCUGUGGCACUUGUAACCCACACUUGCUCAUUUCAGAUUGGCCACAUUGAUGGAGAGCCCAGCCGCAAAGGAGCGUUUCCCGUAUCGUUCGUGCACUUUAUUGCUGACUAAACUGCCACUGAACAGAAGCCUCUGUUUCACCCUUAUGUUCCAUUUUGUUACUGGUCCCAAGGCCAGCCAUACCAUUUCCAUGGACCGGGUUGUACGGCAGCCCAUCUUUUCACGAUCCUGUCCCAUUCUGAAAACUCAGAGGCAAGGUUUAUAUAUAAGCAGGAUUUUCUUUUUUUUUUUUUUUAUAUAAGUUGUGGUUUUCAUGCAACAUUGCUAUACUUCUACUAGG